rnacentral:tRNA from 1 species
GUCCAGGGUAGCCUAGUGGACAUGGAUGGCAUCUGCCCGGUAAGCGGAAAACUGUGGGUUCGAUUCCCAUCCCUGUACA